UAAGUUUCAGCUGCCCUUAGAUGUUCGGGGCCGCACGCGCGCUACACUGAAGGUGUCAGAGGGUCGAGUCCUAGGUCGAGAGGCCCGGGCAACCCGUGCAGAAACGCCAUCGUGCUAGGGACUGGGGCUUGAAAUUCUUGCCCACGAACGAGGAAUUCCCAGUAAGCGCGAGUCAUCAGCUCGUGUUGAUUACGUCCCUGCCCUUUGUACACACCGCCCGUCGCUACUACCGAUUGAAUGGUUUAGUGAGGCCCUCGGACGCGUCCCGGGCUGGUGGGGGCCAUCCCCCCAGUCGUCUUGGUUGUUGCGCAAAAGACGGUCGAACUUGAUCAUUUAGAGGAAGUAAAAGUCGUAACAAGGUUUCCGUAGGUGAAC
rnacentral:rRNA from 1 species